AGCGAACGCUGGCGGCAGGCUUAACACAUGCAAGUCGAACGCCCCGCAAGGGGAGUGGCAGACGGGUGAGUAACACGUGGGGACGCACCCUUUGGUUCGGAAUAACUUGGGGAAACUCAAGCUAAUACCGGAUAAGCCCUUACGGGGAAAGGCUUACUGCCGAAGGAUCCGCCCGCGUCUGAUUAGCUAGUUGGUGAGGUAACGGCUAACCAAGGCGACGAUCAGUAGCUGGUCUGAGAGGAUGGUCAGCCACACUGGGACUGAGACACGGCCCAGACUCCUACGGGAGGCAGCAGUGGGGAAUAUUGGACAAUGGGGGCAACCCUGAUCCAGCCAUGCCGGGUGAGUGAUGAAGGCCUUAGGGUUGUAAAGCUCUUUUACCCGGGACGAUAAUGACUGUACCGGGAGAAUAAGCCCCGGCUAACUUCGUGCCAGCCGCCGCAGUAAAAC
rnacentral:rRNA from 1 species